UGGUUUUAUGUUUUAUAAUGUUUUUUAGUUGUAUGGUUUGAUAAAGCAAUUUCCUCGGGGUUAAAUAACAUCCGUUGGGUUUUCUUCAUGUGAAGUUUAUCAGUUUAUCUAGGUUUCGUUUAGCCUGUUUGACUCGCGACCCACGUGACUACACAACGACCCAUGAAGAGAUGCCACGUUCAUAUGCAAAUCAGUACUAGGAUACUCGGAAAUGUCCGACUUGUUAACUGGUUGAGAGCGGCACAUGUAUACAUACAACCAAGUCUGAAAUUUCCGAGUUUCCAAGUUCUGACUUGCUCCUGAACGCGGCAUGAGGCACAAGAGUUUCAAAAACCAGAGACGCAACAUUGCGAGGCUUCGUGGAACGUUUACCUAAAAUUGCAACAAAAAAAAAUCUAAACACAUUCCCAUGACUGUCAUAUAAGGUCCAAUGAGCUAGUCUAUGCCUACUGUGACCAGAGACAAUACGGGAGUGCCUGAGAUGAGGUCUGGAAAGUGAAACUUAAGGAAAGGGAUAGCCUCACUUAGCCAGUCCCAUGACUGCUGAGUCAUCACAUCCUAGACAGAGCACACCAUGGGUGUCCAGGGAUUUCCCAGUGCUGCAGAACAGAUGCAGCUAGACACCCUGCAUCAGGCUCCAAAGUCAGUGCAGGUAUUUUUGGAGACACUUGGUGUGUCCCUGUCCACUUUGAGCGGUGUCCCGCCUCAUCUGCGUCUUCCUGUGGCUGUCACCUGCUACUGAGGUGAGCUGAGGCACGCCCAUCCCACCCGGACCUGCCGGAGUGCUCUGCAGACAGAGGAAGAGCCAAAGCGGUUUAUGGAGGGACCAGUGUUGGAGAGGCUGAGAGGGCUGAUUCAGAGAGGUAGAAGGAGCCUCAACCUGUGUGUGGCCCACACCUACAGCCAGUGGCAGUGCUACCUGAAAGAAUGCCUUGACCUGAACCAACUGCUGUGCCUCCGGAGCCUCAGUGUGCCUGGCUGUACAAUGGCACUCUGGUGCACCAUGUUGUGAUCGAACUGAGAGGGGGCUUGACCCCAAAUGUUCUCCUAAUGGGAGGCCCUUGCUCUGGGCAGCUGUAUAGGGCCAUGCUGGGAGCCAUACUCAACUCCCAUGAUGCCGCUGUCAUCCCCUUGGUGUCUGGGCCGCAGAGGGCCACACCUCCAUCCUUGACACAGCCACUGAACGAUCUGACGGCCCAUCUACGCAUUCUGGCUCUGGAAUAUGAUGAUGAUGAUGGUGCUGGAGGUGGGAGCAAGGCCAAGCCAGAGGACGAUCUGGGUUGGACUUUGGUCUCAGUGCGGACCCGGCACAAGAGCAAGGACAGAUUCAACCGAGCUCGGAAUCCAGAAUUCUCCCGGAAGCAGGGGCGGACCGGCUGGGAGUAGGGAGGGACCAUUAUAUAACUGUUUAUAUAUAGAGACGUUCUGCUCAACUCUUUCAUGUUUUUAUUGUUCUUGUGUACCUAUGACUUCAUUUACAUCUGUAUUUAGAAUUAACUAGCAUUAACCAUAAAAUAAGUUUAUGAAAGAUAGAUGUAGAUUUUAUAAAUGUUUAAAGACAUUAAAGUUUGUAAUAUAUAAUAUAAGUUUGUAAUAUAAUAUUUAAAAAAAUAUAUAAAAACGUUUGAC